rnacentral:rRNA from 1 species
UACAGAGACUGCAAGCGUUAUUCGGAUUCACUGGGCGUAAAGGGUGCGCAGGCGGCCGUGUGUGUAAGGCGUGAAAGCCUGGAGCUUAACUCCAGAAUUGCACCUCAAACUACAUGGCUAGAGCAUUGGAGAGGGUAGCAGAAUUCAUGGUGUAGCAGUGAAAUGCGUAGAUAUCAUGAGGAAUACCAGAGGCGAAGGCGGCUACCUGGACAAUUGCUGACGCUCAGGCACGAAAGCGUGGGGAGCAAAAGGG